CGACCCUACCGGCACAAGCCAGAGCACAAGAAGGAGAUCGAUGCUCAGGUAGAGGAGCUUCUCCGCAAAGGCAUUAUCCAGAAGAGCAGCAGUCCCUUCUGUUCACCAGCCAUUCUCGUCAAGAAGAAGGACGGAACUUGGAGGCUCUGUAUCGACUACAGACACCUCAAUGCCAUCACUUACAUCGCCAAGUAUCCCGUGCCUAUCAUUGAAGAGUUGUUGGACGAGCUGUACGGUGCGGCCUGGUUCUCCAAACUUGAUUUGCGAUUGGGAUAUCACCAGAUCCGCUUGGCAGAAGGGGAAGAAUACAAGACCGCGUUCCAGACACAUUCAGGCCAUUACGAGUUCUUGGUGGUUUCCUUCGGACUAGCGGGUGGACCGGCCACAUUCAACGGAGCUCUGACAACCACUCUGAAACCAGUCGAUCGCAAGUGUGUGCUCCUCUUCUUCGACGACAUCCUCGUGUUCAGCAAGACUCUGGGAGACCAUGUCAAUCAUCUGAGACAAGUGCUGCAGCUGCUGCACCGGGAUCAAUGGCACGUCAAGAUGUCCAAAUGUGAGUUCGGUCAGCACAGCCUAUCGUACCUGGGACAUGUCAUCAGCGAUCAGGGAGUGUCCACAGAACCAACCAAGAUACAGGCAGUAUCCAACUGGACGACACCAACUGACGCCAAGGCAGUCCGUAGCUUCUUGGGACUGGCGGGAUACUAUCGAAGAUUCGUCAAGAAUUUUGGAGUCAUAGCCCGGCCGCUGUUCAACCUUCUAAAAAAAGGAGCACCAUUCGUUUGGACACCAGCCACAGAUACAACAUUCCAGCUCCUCAAGCAGCAUCUGAUCGAAGCACCAGUGCUGGCACUCCCCAACUUCGCCAAGCCAUUUGUGAUCGAGACCGACGCGUGCGACAAGGGGAUCGGAGCGAUACUGCAGCAAGAUGGCCACCCGAUCGCUUAUAUGAGCAAAGCCUUGAGCCCUCGAUACCAGGGACUCUGA
rnacentral:rRNA from 1 species